AUACUUACCUGGCAGGGGAAACACCAUGAUUAUCAAGAUGUUUUUUCGAGGGCGAAGCUUAUCCAUUGCACUUGCAGGUGCUGACCCCUUCAAUUUUUCCAAGUGUGGGAAACUCAACUAUGUAAUUUGUAGUACUGGGGGACUGUGUUUGUGCCCUGCCCAG